UCACCGGUAAAAUCCGGUGACGGGUUUGAGACCCCGUUCAUGACACACGGCAUAUAGAUGCCAGCUUUUGCUGGUUUUUU
rnacentral:sRNA from 1 species